rnacentral:rRNA from 1 species
CUCAGGACGAACGCUGGCGGCGUGCCUAACACAUGCAAGUCGAACGGAACUGUUUUGAAAGAUUUCUUCGGAAUGAAUUUGAUUUAGUUUAGUGGCGGACGGGUGAGUAACGCGUGAGUAACCUGCCUUCAAGAGGGGGAUAACAUUCUGAAAAGAAUGCUAAUACCGCAUGACAUAUCGGAACCACAUGGUUCUGAUAUCAAAGAUUUUAUCGCUUGAAGAUGGACUCGCGUCCGAUUAGUUAGUUGGUGAGGUAACGGCUCACCAAGACCGCGAUCGGUAGCCGGACUGAGAGGUUGAACGGCCACAUUGGGACUGAGACACGGCCCAGACUCCUACGGGAGGCAGCAG